rnacentral:rRNA from 1 species
AAAGGGUGUCCAAGCAGUAAGUCUGAAGUAGAGUCAAAUGCUUUACUUCUUAAGGACAAGCUGUGAUGGGGAGCGAAAUUUAAGUAGCGAAGUUCCUGACGUCACACUGCCGAGAAAAGCUUCUAGUUAGAGUUUAGCUACCCGUACCGCAAACCGACACAGGUAGUCGAGGAGAGUAUCCUAAGGUGAGCGAGAGAACUCUCGUUAAGGAACUCGGCAAAAUGACCCCGUAACUUCGGGAGAAGGGGUGCUGAUCGCAAGAUCAGCCGCAGUGAAAAGGCCCAGGCGACUGUUUAUCAAAAACACAGGUUUCUGCAAAAUCGUAAGAUGACGUAUAGGGGCUGACGCCUGCCCGGUGCUGGAAGGUUAAGGGAAUGAGUUAGCGUAAGCGAAGCUCUGAACUGAAGCCCCAGUAAACGGCGGCCGUAACUAUAACGGUCCUAAGGUAGCGAAAUUCCUUGUCGGGUAAGUUCCGACCCGCACGAAAGGCGUAACGAUCUGGGCACUGUCUCAACGAGAGACUCGGUGAAAUUAUAAUACCCGUGAAGAUGCGGGUUACCCGCGACAGGACGGAAAGACCCCAUGGAGCUUUACUGUAACUUGAUAUUGAGUGUUUGUACAGCUUGUACAGGAUAGGUAGGAGCCGUAGAAUCCGGAACGCUAGUUUCGGAGGAGGCAAUGGUGGGAUACUACCCUCGUUGUAUGAACCCUCUAACCCGCGCCACUAAUCGUGGCGGGAGACAGUGUCUGGUGGGCAGUUUGACUGGGGCGGUCGCCUCCUAAAGAGUAACGGAGGCGCCCAAAGGUUCCCUCAGAAUGGUUGGAAAUCAUUCGUAGAGUGUAAAGGCAGAAGGGAGCUUGACUGCGAGACAGACAGGUCGAGCAGGGACGAAAGUCGGGCUUAGUGAUCCGGUGGUACCGUAUGGAAGGGCCAUCGCUCAACGGAUAAAAGCUACCCUGGGGAUAACAGGCUUAUCUCCCCCAAGAGUUCACAUCGACGGGGAGGUUUGGCACCUCGAUGUCGGCUCAUCGCAUCCUGGGGCUGUAGUCGGUCCCAAGGGUUGGGCUGUUCGCCCAUUAAAGCGGUACGCGAGCUGGGUUCAGAACGUCGUGAGACAGUUCGGUCCCUAUCCGUCGCGGGCGUAGGAAAUUUGAGAGGCGCUGUCCUUAGUACGAGAGGACCGGGAUGGACACACCGCUGGUGUACCAGUUGUUCCGCCAGGAGCAUCGCUGGGUAGCUAUGUGUGGAUGAGAUAAACGCUGAAAGCAUCUAAGUGUGAAACUCACCUCGAGAUUAGAUUUCCCAUUGCCUUCGGGCAAGUAAGACCCCUGAAAGAUGAUCAGGUAGAUAGGCUAGAAGUGGAAGUGUAGUGAUACAUGGAGCGGACUAGUACUAAUCGGUCGAGGACUUAACCAAG